rnacentral:rRNA from 1 species
UACGGAGGAUCCGAGCGUUAUCCGGAUUUAUUGGGUUUAAAGGGUGCGUAGGCGGCCUUGUAAGUCAGGGGUGAAAGACGGUGGCUCAACCAUCGCAGUGCCUUUGAUACUGCCGGGCUUGAAUAUAGUUGAGGUGGGCGGAAUGUGACAAGUAGCGGUGAAAUGCAUAGAUAUGUCACAGAACACCGAUUGCGAAGGCAGCUCACUAAGCUAGUAUUGACGCUGAGGCACGAAAGCGUGGGGAUCAAACAGG